GCCGCCUUAGCUUAGUGGUAAAGCGCCCGGCUGUGGACCGGGAGAUCCCCCGUUCGAAUCGGGGAGGCGGCC
rnacentral:tRNA from 1 species